GGUCAGAUAGCCAAGUGGUUCAGGCAGCACACCUAGCAAGCUAACACCGAGGUCCCUGGUUUGAACCCAGGUCUGAGCA
rnacentral:tRNA from 1 species